CAGUCGCCGCGGUAAUACGAAGGGGGCUAGCGUUGCUCGGAAUCACUGGGCGUAAAGGGUGCGUAGGCGGGUUUUUAAGUCAGAGGUGAAAUCCUGGAGCUCAACUCCAGAACUGCCUUUGAUACUGAAAGUCUUGAGUAUGGGAGAGGUGAGUGGAACUGCGAGUGUAGAGGUGAAAUUCGUAGAUAUUCGCAAGAACACCAGUGGCGAAGGCGGCUCACUGGCCCAUAACUGACGCUGAGGCACGAAAGCGUGGGGAGCAAACAGGAUUAGAUACCCCUGUAGUCCCUGUCUCUUAUAC
rnacentral:rRNA from 1 species